CAUCUGCUCCCACUUCUCCACAACCACUGCAAUAGAAACGCUCUCUUCUACGCAUCAGAAAAAGUGAAUGCUUCUGGCGGGAGGAAACAAAAUCAAGAGGAUUGACAGUCAUAACGUUGAGUAAAUUUGAAUUAGAAAUGCGGGCUGGGUUAGUGCGAGUCCAGGACACUGUUUGCAAGGAAUAGGGAACGCGAGAAAUUGGAACCCGGACCCCCGGACCCUCUAAUGAGAUAUACUUAAUAACAAAGCAAUUAUGCAAGGCGUUCCCUAUUUGAAGUUAAUCAAUUAAUAUUGAUUAACUUCAAAUAGAUAACGCCUUGUGUAAUUAAUUGCUUUGUUAUUGUGUAUAUCCCAUUAGGGAGCCCAGGUUCCAAUCUCUCACAUUCCCUGUUCCUUGAAACACACUGAGCCAACCCGUGUUUCUAAUUCAAAUUUACUCAUCAUUAUGGCUGCCAAUCCUCUUGAUCUUGUUUUCUCCCGCCACGAGCAUAAGCUUUUUCUGAUGCCUAGAAUAAAAUGUUUCUAUUGCAGCGGUUCCGGAGAAAUGGGAGCAGAUGCUGGUUAUUAAUGCAGAAAUCCAGACCGCUUCAACUUCGACUUGGUGCUGCAUCUUUCUUGUGCCAAACUUUUAGACAUAUUUGCUAAGCCAAAUUAAAUUUCUGCUCGUUGUCGUCGUUUUUGCACCAAAAGUGCAAAGCUUGCAAGAAUCUCUUUAAAGGCUUCUCACACGAAGCUCUUUGGACAUUUUUUUUCAAACCUGGUCUGAAAUUUCACCCGUCAUGUCUUGACGUACCAUAAAUUAACUCUAACAAACACACUUUUGCCGACCAUUCCCUGAAACUUAUCAGAGAGAAGAAAAUAAGACUUAAAUGCAGUCUGUGCAAGCAAAAUAUACCUUCAUGGAGAUAUGACUGAAUAAUUUGUACAUACUCACUGGAUAUUGUUUGCGCUAAAUGUUGUAUGUUGAACUGAGCCUUAUCAAUAAAUGGUAAGGCAGAUGUCGUACCGUUGCCCUCGCUACUAAGUCUUCUUGUGAAAUCUAAGCGGGUAUCUAGGAUUCCGGGGAUGCACACACAUUGCCUUAUCAUGUCUGCCAUUGCUCCUCUUCAUGUUGCAGAGAGGGAGUAAAGGACUGUCUUGGGUUAGCACACUCGGGUCUUGUAUACUAACCAGUCAGCAGGGAUUGUGGAGCUUACAUAUACAUCAGAUAUUCAGCACACAAGGAAUACUUACAAAGAUCUCUAUAGCUAUAUCAAUCGUUACGGAGCUUCUUCUGAGUAUCUUGUUAACUGUGGCAAAAGAGACAGUUUUAUCUGUAAAACCAUGCAAAUUGAAUGAUUUUAAUCCACUCCAUCCCCGCACCUCCAGCAGAUGUGGAAGUUUUGUAUUCAGGGCGUCAUAAACACCGGCUCUAUUUGUCGGACGGUUUGAUACGUUACAGAUGCAAGGGGUGUAAAGCAUAUGGAGCUAAUACAGGGUAUAAAUAUCGUUUAUGUGGGAAUGUCACGUUCCACAGAUCAUGUAUUGAGCUACCAGAUGAUUGUGUGCAUCCCCGGUAUCCUAGAUACACGCUCAGAUUUCACAAGAAGCCUAAGCGAGGACAACGGUGCGACAUCUGCGGAGACAAAAUAUUAGGUUUUGUGUUCAGGCUUUGGAGAAUUGCAAAGAAUUGCAAAUACACCCUCUCUGUAUGGUGCUGCGUCUGACACUUACCCACAGUCACCAUCCUGGUCAUAGCUUCAGACUACAUGCUAACGAGAAAAAUUGCCGUUGCUUGAGGUGCUCCGAACAAACAGGGGCAUUGAAAUAUGAAUGUGAGAUAGGUUGCGAAAGUUAUAUAGACAUAAAUUGUGCCAUAAUGCACUGUCACAGCCUAUCCUAUCCCAACCCGCAAGCCAGAGCAAACAUGUGGUUUCGACUGUUGGUAAGUUUCUUAUAUUUCUUGUGGGAAACUUUUGUGAGGGGUUAGCGAGAGGGUUAGAGGGCUGAUAAGAAGCUGCUGAUCGCCGGAUUGAUAAACCUUUUGUGAUGUGACAUUCUCAUGUCACAGUAUUUUCCAACAAUCCAAUGUUUUCAACAAACAAUUAUGUAUUUCAGAUUUCAUUUUUAUCACGUGAUGCUACUGUAAUUGAAAAUCAGAAUAAUUUCAGCUCUCUUUUUAUUGUGUUGUUGAUUAAGAAGAAAUUUCUAUGAAUA